rnacentral:rRNA from 1 species
CAAUGGCGUAUAUUAAAGUUGUUGCAGUUAAAAAGCUCGUAGUUGGAUUUCUGGUGGGAGCGACCGGUCGGCCCAAGUGGUGUGUACUAGUGUUGCAUCUGUCCAUAUUUGCGGAGAGCGUGUGUGGCAUUAAUUUGUCGUGCUCGGGACCCGCAUCGUUUACUGUGAGAAAAUUAGAGUGUUCAAAGCAGGCUUAUGCCUUGGAUAUGUUAGCAUGGAAUAAUAAGAUAAGACUUUGGCGGUCUAUUUUGUUGGUUUGCACGCCAUUGUAAUGAUUGAUAGGGACAGUUGGGGGUAUUCAUAUUUAAUUGUCAGAGGUGAAAUUCUUGGAUUUAUGAAAGAUGAACUACUGCGAAAGCAUUUACCAAGGAUGGUUNCAUUAA